GUCGCGUUCCCGAAGCCAACACUACUCCCCAGCCCCUCCGGGAGGUGUGACUCCACCUCCUGCCCGGUUCGCUGGGAUCAACCGCGGGCGCGUUUACCGCUCCUGCAAAGUAAGAAGGCUUAUCUUCUUAUCGAUUUCUCUGACCAUCUCCAAAUAAGUGUCUACGUCCUAGGUGCUGUUUUUCUUUAGCUCUGCCAAGUUUUGCAACUUGCAGAACAUCCAGUUGUUCAGAAACUUGUAGAUCCCAGUCUUUUCAUCCAUCGUUUUACAAAACUUUUGCUGGGAAGAAGAAAUAAUGAUGUCUCGGACACAGCUUUAUGCAUUGUAGCUAGCAUGAAGAGAGAUUGGAUGCAGGCAGGUGUUUCCUCUUUCUUUUGUCCUUCAUAACUUUUCUUUCACAAGGCUGUGAUUGGCUUUACUGCCCUGCUCUAUGUUCCAGACUGGGAGGAAGCCAAGCAGAUUAUGUGGUGCAGCAUUAUACAUUGCUGCACUCUCUCAUGGGUGUAAUUACACCAAGGCAGAUAUUGUCUCUGUUGUGCAUGUGUGUGAGGCCACUCUAACGAAGCGAUUGAUAGAGUUCGAAAAUACAGAUUCUGGCAGCUUAACAGUA